AAAGGCUGUAGUUCAGAGGUAUAGCAUCUGCUUCGCAUGCAGAAGACUCCUGGUUCAAUCUCUGGCAUUUUAA